GAGUUUGAUCGUGGCUCAGAGUGAACGCUGGCGGCGUGCUUAAAACAUGCAAGUCGAACGGGGUCCAACCAGUCGCAAGACUGGGGAAGACCUAGUGGCGAACGGGUGCGUAACACGUGAGGAACCUGCCCCGGAGACCGGGAUAACCCUCCGAAAGGAGAGCUAAUACCGGAUGCCCCCACCUGAUCGCAUGGUCGGGUGAGGAAAUGGAUUCCGCUCCGGGAUGGCCUCGCGGCCUAUCAGCUUGUUGGUGAGGUAACGGCUCACCAAGGCAUCGACGGGUAGCUGGUCUGAGAGGACGAUCAGCCACACUGGGACUGAGACACGGCCCAGACUCCUACGGGAGGCAGCAGUUAGGAAUCUUGCGCAAUGGGCGAAAGCCUGACGCAGCAACGCCGCGUGGGGGAUGAAGGCUCUCGGGUUGUAAACCCCUUUCAGCAGGGACGAUUGUGACGGUACCUGCAGAAGAAGGACCGGCCAACUACGUGCCAGCCGCCGCGGU
rnacentral:rRNA from 2 species